GACGAACGCUGGCGGCGUGCUUAACACAUGCAAGUCGAACGGAAAGGCCCAGCUUUCUGGGUACUCACGUGGCGAACGGAUGAGUAACACGUGGGUUAUCUGCCCUCAUCUUUGGGUUAAGCCUGGUAAACUGGGUCUAAUUACGGCCAUAAUAAACUUUCGCAUGGUGGUUGGUGGAAAGCUUUUGCGGUUGGGGAUGGGUCCGCGGCCUAUCAGCUUGUUGGUGGGGGAUUGGCAUACCAAGGCGACGACUGGUAGCCGACCUGAGAGGGUGAUCGGCCACACUGGGACUGAGAGACGGCCCAGACUCCUACGGGAGGCAGCAGUGGGGAAUAUUGCACAAUGGGCGCAAGCCUGAUGCAGCGACGCCGCGUGAGGGAUGACGGCCUUCGGGUUGUAAACCUCUUUCUCCAGGGACGAAGCGUGAGUGACGGUACCUGGUGAAGAAGCACCGGCCAACUACGUG
rnacentral:rRNA from 1 species